rnacentral:rRNA from 1 species
UACGAAGGGGGGCUAGCGUUGCUCGGAAUCACUGGGCGUAAAGGGUGCGUAGGCGGGUCUUUUAAGUCAGGGGGUGAAAUCCUGGAGCUCAACUCCAGAACUGCCUUUGAUACUGAGGAUCUUGAGUUCGGGAGAGGUGAGUGGAACUGCGAGUGUAGAGGUGAAAUUUCGUAGAUAUUCGCAAGAACACCAGUGGCGAAGGCGGCUCACUGGCCCGAUACUGACGCUGAGGCACGAAAGCGUGGGGGAGCAAACAGG